rnacentral:rRNA from 1 species
GGGAGCCGGAGGGAAACCGAGUCUUAACUGGGCGUUAAGUUGCAGGGUAUAGACCCGAAACCCGGUGAUCUAGCCAUGGGCAGGUUGAAGGUUGGGUAACACUAACUGGAGGACCGAACCGACUAAUGUUGAAAAAUUAGCGGAUGACUUGUGGCUGGGGGUGAAAGGCCAAUCAAACCGGGAGAUAGCUGGUUCUCCCCGAAAGCUAUUUAGGUAGCGCCUCGUGAAUUCAUCUCCGGGGGUAGAGCACUGUUUCGGCAAGGGGGUCAUCCCGACUUACCAACCCGAUGCAAACUGCGAAUACCGGAGAAUGUUAUCACGGGAGACACACGGCGGGUGCUAACGUCCGUCGUGAAGAGGGAAACAACCCAGACCGCCAGCUAAGGUCCCAAAGUCAUGGUUAAGUGGGAAACGAUGUGGGAAGGCCCAGACAGCCAGGAUGUUGGCUUAGAAGCAGCCAUCAUUUAAAGAAAGCGUAAUAGCUCACUGGUCGAGUCGGCCUGCGCGGAAGAUGUAACGGGGCUAAACCAUGCACCGAAGCUGCGGCAGCGACACUGUGUGUUGUUGGGUAGGGGAGCGUUCUGUAAGCCUGUGAAGGUGUGCUGUGAGGCAUGCUGGAGGUAUCAGAAGUGCGAAUGCUGACAUAAGUAACGAUAAAGCGGGUGAAAAGCCCGCUCGCCGGAAGACCAAGGGUUCCUGUCCAACGUUAAUCGGGGCAGGGUGAGUCGACCCCUAAGGCGAGGCCGAAAGGCGUAGUCGAUGGGAAACAGGUUAAUAUUCCUGUACUUGGUGUUACUGCGAAGGGGGGACGGAGAAGGCUAUGUUGGCCGGGCGACGGUUGUCCCGGUUUAAGCGUGUAGGCUGGUUUUCCAGGCAAAUCCGGAGAAUCAAGGCUGAGGCGUGAUGACGAGGCACUACGGUGCUGAAGCAACAAAUGCCCUGCUUCCAGGAAAAGCCUCUAAGCAUCAGGUAACAUCAAAUCGUACCCCAAACCGACACAGGUGGUCAGGUAGAGAAUACCAAGGCGCUUGAGAGAACUCGGGUGAAGGAACUAGGCAAAAUGGUGCCGUAACUUCGGGAGAAGGCACGCUGAUAUGUAGGUGAAGCGACUUGCUCGUGGAGCUGAAAUCAGUCGAAGAUACCAGCUGGCUGCAACUGUUUAUUAAAAACACAGCACUGUGCAAACACGAAAGUGGACGUAUACGGUGUGACGCCUGCCCGGUGCCGGAAGGUUAAUUGAUGGGGUCAGCGCAAGCGAAGCUCUUGAUCGAAGCCCCGGUAAACGGCGGCCGUAACUAUAACGGUCCUAAGGUAGCGAAAUUCCUUGUCGGGUAAGUUCCGACCUGCACGAAUGGCGUAAUGAUGGCCAGGCUGUCUCCACCCGAGACUCAGUGAAAUUGAACUCGCUGUGAAGAUGCAGUGUACCCGCGGCAAGACGGAAAGACCCCGUGAACCUUUACUAUAGCUUGACACUGAACACUGGUCCUUGAUGUGUAGGAUAGGUGGGAGGCUUUGAAGUGUGGACGCCAGUCUGCAUGGAGCCGUCCUUGAAAUACCACCCUUUAAUGGCUGGUGUUCUAACGUUGGCCCCUUACCGGGGUUGCGGACAGUGUCUGGUGGGUAGUUUGACUGGGGCGGUCUCCUCCUAAAGAGUAACGGAGGAGCACGAAGGUUGGCUAAUCCUGGUCGGACAUCAGGAGGUUAGUGCAAUGGCAUAAGCCAGCUUGACUGCGAGCGUGACGGCGCGAGCAGGUGCGAAAGCAGGUCAUAGUGAUCCGGUGGUUCUGAAUGGAAGGGCCAUCGCUCAACGGAUAAAAGGUACUCCGGGGAUAACAGGCUGAUACCGCCCAAGAGUUCAUAUCGACGGCGGUGUUUGGCACCUCGAUGUCGGCUCAUCACAUCCUGGGGCUGAAGUAGGUCCCAAGGGUAUGGCUGUUCGCCAUUUAAAGUGGUACGCGAGCUGGGUUUAGAACGUCGUGAGACAGUUCGGUCCCUAUCUGCCGUGGGCGCUGGAGAACUGAGGGGGGCUGCUCCUAGUACGAGAGGACCGGAGUGGACGCAUCACUGGUGUUCGGGUUGUCAUGCCAAUGGCACUGCCCGGUAGCUAAAUGCGGAAGAGAUAAGUGCUGAAAGCAUCUAAGCACGAAACU